AAUUUUUUUAUUAUGUUCCAGUGGUGCACACACAGGCUAAAAUCUCAAAGAGCCAUUCCCGUUGAGAAGAUGGAUAUAAAUGCUGCACGGUGAGAGAGAGAAGGAAGGGAGCUGUGUUGAAGGUGGGACAGCCAAGAUUUGCCAGACCGACAUCUUCUCGGUCUCUUCUUACCCCCCAGAACAGCAUAUACCAGCUUUCUUUUCUGGAGAUCAGCCAAUCUUACCUUCUCCUUAGAGGCUGUCACUCAAGGAGUCUGCCUCAAGAAGUUGCCAUCAUGGUGAAAUGUAGCUCAGAAAGUACCCUUUCCAGAGGCAGGGGAACAAAAAGGACAAUCCAGAGGUGUUGAGGCAAGCACUUGCAGAUUCUUCUUCUGCACUCGCAAAUCAAACCACUUCCACGUCCCACGGAGAAGAGUAAGUGAUGAUUGUGAAGUGUAAUCAUGAGUGUGUAAAUCACCUGGGGUUCUUGUUAAAUUAUAGAUAUUGAUGAAGUAGGUCUUGACCAAGACCUUAGAUUUUACAUUUCUAACAAGCUCCCAGGAAAUUCUUAGGCUGCUGGUCCAUUGAGUAGUUAGCGGAUAGAGAGCCCAGGUUGGUUACCGUAGCAAAGCUUUCCAAUGUUAAAGCAGGGUCCGUGAUUCUAACUAUAACAUCUUGGUUGAAUAGGGUGCUCUAGUUCUCCGAUUGCCUGAAAAGUUCAGGACCAAGGACAGUUAUUUUUUGCACAUUAUAACUGGCUAUGCUCACAAUAACCAGUAAUUGCUGAAAUCUUGAUAAAUGUGCCCCAAUAUAACCAUAAGAGGAUAAUUCAAUUAAACACUCAUAAAACAUCCAGACUUAGAAAUGUUGAUUCCAACUCUUUCAUGCUUUUUAUAAAAUCUCCCUUCGGGCUCUAGAGGGUUUAAAUAUUUUUAAAUUAGUUCAUUCUGCCCCCAUAGGUCUUCAUUUCUUCAUUUGUUUUAUUUGAUCACAUUAGCUUAUAAGCUGCCUCAUAUAUUUUUGGGAUGUGUUUGGGGACAGAAACACAAUAAUGAAAUUAACAUUUCCUCCUCCAAAAGUUGGGCCUCAAGGUGGACUGUGCUUCUCUGUCAUCUUUACUUUCUUCAUCACAAUGCUUUGCACAUAAUAGACCCUUAAUAAGUAUUUCUUGAUUGAUGUAUACAUUUGAAAUUUUUCAUUACUUGUGUGGAUCUGAAAUAUUAGGUUUCCCAAAUCUAGUUUUUCUUUCUCUCUUUAGAACUUUACUCAAUUCUUUCUUCUUCAAAGUGCUAGUAAGUAUAUCAAGUUUAUCCUUUCAGCUUGGAGGUGAUAAUUUCCCAUUCUGGGGGAGAUGGAUGCUAUGCCCCAACAUUUGUGCACUUAAUUAAAGCAGAAAAAAUUCUUAAUUAGUGUAAUAAAUGCAAUUAAAAAUGUCUCUAAUGGAGAAACUGCUGCUCAAUUUUUAGAACAACAGAGAGGUAAUGGCCAGAUGGGUUAAUUAAUCAGAGUUAACUCUCAUUUGAUGAAUACUUUGAGGUUCUCUGAUACAAUGAGAUUAUACAAAUACCAUACAUUGUUGUUAUUAUAUCCUCAUAGAAUAUCAUCUGGACCCUACUUCCUUAGGCCUCUCCACUUAACAAAGUUUUUAUUUUCAAAGCUGACCUUUGCUGUCUCCAGGUAUAAUUCCCUUCUAUCUAUAUCUCAAAAAUAACUUAAGCAUGCCACAAUGAAAGAAGGUAAAUGUCAAUUUUCAAAAUUUUAAGAGAUUUUUUACACAUUGAGCAAUGCAUUACUUUACUUCUUUUGAGAGAGAAACAUCUUUUUCUGUCACUGUUGUUAAACUCUGUGAGUGACAACAUUGUUUUGCGAGUAGAAAAGACUACCAUUCUCCACGUUGUGCCAAGUCUCAAAUUUCCAUCAGCCAAUGAUUUUUGAGCAUCUACCGUAUAUCUUCUGUGAAAGAAGUUUUGGUUACUUUUGAUGACUUUUAUCUAUACACUUUGUAAAAAUGAUUGAGCCUCUUUCUCAUUCCUGUGUACCAUAUUUCUUGUUGGAUCAAAUUUCUGGUUGGAAAAAGAAUCAACUAGUGCCUGAGAUUUAAAUAAUUAGAGAAACUAACUCUGGCUCCAAAAGCACAAUCAAUGACCUCCUCUCCUGUGUGUGCACACUGAUAAUAUCCUAGUGGUGCUGAGUUGUGGGAGAAAACAAAGGUCUGUGGCCGCCAUUGCUCUUUGUCAAGGCUUUACACAAAAGUACUGACUGUGCUAUAAUAGAGAAUCAGCUUGCCAAAACAUUACAAGAGGCUGAAGCUUCUAACUCACUGAAACUCUACUUAAGUUAUUAUAUGCUUGGAUGGCUGCAAGAACAACAGAUAGCUGUGUAAUUAAUGCAAAGCAUGUCAGCCUCCCUCACUUCCUUCUCCUCUCCAUGCAGACCAGUAACGAGGCGCCUCCUGACACACAAUCACAACGCACUGACAAACCAUCUUGGUGUGUGAAAGAGACACAGAAAAAUCCAAGAACCGUGACAAUGCUAGCAAGCACGGUUCCUCUUUGCCAGAAAUUUCCCAUCAUAGCUGUUCAUGAGGCAGAGACUCCUGGCUAGAGGAGUCAUUAUCUGCUGGGCUACAGACCAACUUCCAGGUCUGAAGGACUCUUAUGUUAUCACAUUGAAAGCAAAAGUUAUCUUUUGAAGAAAGAAGAAAAAGAAGGAUUUAACUCUUUCUCCUUAUGUUAGCAUUCCUGAGAAAGUAUUAAAAAUAAAUGAUUCUCUGAAACUAUUACACGUUUUACUGCUUAUUUUCGCCACUGUAUGAUGAACAUGUACCCACCAAGAAAUUAGAUAGUUUCUUUCAUGUAGCUUCAUCCAACAGAUUAAAAAAGAUAAUAAUGUUAAAUUUUAUUAUUAAUAAAAAUUGUGGAAUUUCACCUGAUAUACCAUGAAAUGUAAUCCUCACCACUGUGCUUUAUUAGGUCUGUCCAUCAGCAUCAUCAUUGAUUGACAUGCCCAGUGCACUGUUCCCUUACAUAAUUGUGCUAGUUGCUACAGGUAAUGUUUGAAAGCAUGAAACACAAUCUUUGACCCUGUACUUUAUCUUAAUAUAAUUAGUGAAAUAAAAUUUCUAUGUAAAAAGAUGCAGAAUAAUUGAAUGCAAUAAAAUGUAAUUCCAAAUGAAAAAUACAGACCAAGAUAUAUAAUGGGAGAUCAAUGAUUUAGAAAGGAUUACCAUUGGAGAGGGCAAAACAGGUACAAAUCCUCCAGGAAUGGUAUACUGCAGAGUAAGGAAAUUCUAGACCAGAGUAUAUGUGAGAGAGCAAGAAAACUCAACAGUUAAAAAAAAAUAACCACUAAGUAUGUCCUCACAGGUAGUAAUGUGAUAGCAAUAAUACUCUGCACUGGGAACAGAAUUGGUUAUCAAAGGAGGGAAGACAUAACAAAUAAAAGUUAUAGUUAAAGACUUUUGAAACUUGUGUUCUAGAUUUUUAGAGAAGCUUAACAUGAGAAACAAUAGUGAAUGAUUUAGCAAAAAAGAUAGUAGGGCUAAUUCCUACAUUACAUGGUAUAAAUGCUAGCCUUCAUAAGAAUUCACAUUAAAGAAGUAUCAUUGGAAACUGGAACAAUCCAGUAGAGUUUCAUGAAGGUGAUAGCUCUUGACUUGCAUUUUGACUAUUAGUUAAUAUUUGAAUUUUUAGAGAGAGGAGAAUAAAUACCAGAUGGAAGUAAAGCGUAAUAUAAGCCAUGAAGUUGGGAUUAGAUAUUGCAUGUUUAUGGGACAGUAAGGAACUUAAUUCAAUUAAAGACACAAUGCAAUAGGGAAUAGCGAUCUACUGAGGUUUAUAAAAUAAUUGAUGAAAAGUGUUAUUUUAGGUAGAUUAAUCAAGAGCAGUGGUUCCAUGCUUUGAUUUUUAGACUCCAGAUAGGCUCUGAAAAUAAAGCUGCAUGUUCAUGUGGCUCUAUGUACACAGUGAAACAUGUAUCUACUAAAUAAUGAAUAUAUUUGCAAUGUAUAUUUCCUUUAAAUAUGUAUAAG